AUGACAAUUGGAGUUCACGACCCGACUUUCUCAAAGCGGCACGAAUUCACCUUCUCCAUUCUUCAUCUCCGCUUCUGCCGCCGCCUGUGUUCGUCUCCAUCUUCAUCGAACGGACGAUCUUCAAGUUGUUCCAAAUCGAACACCAACGGUGAAGUUCUGAUUUCACCUCUACUCAUCAUCCCUACCGGAGCAACACCGGUGGUUUCUUUCAAUCGCGAGGACGAUGCUGCGAAGAUCAGAGAAUAG